ensembl:lncRNA
UUUUUUUUUUUUUUUUUUGAGAUGGAACCUUGUUCUGUCACCCAGGCUGGAGUGCAGUGGCAUGAUCUUGGCUCACUGUAACCUCUGCCUCCCGGGUUCAAGCAAUUCUCCUGCCUCGGCCUCCUUAGUAGCUGGACUACAGGCGCCUGCCACCACGCCUGGAUAGUUUUUGUAUUUUUAGUAGAGAUAAUAUUUCUCCAUGCUGGCCAGGCUGAUCUCAAACUCCUGGCCUCAAAUGAUCCAUCUUCCUCAGCCUCCCAAAGUGCUGGGAUUACAUGAAUGAGCCACCGCACCCGGUCAUCAAGUUCUUGAUGAAUAGGAAAGUCUACUGUGAAGAGGAGAGGGAAAUAUUUGAGUAUAUUUUUAGCCAAUGAAGACUUUCUUUUUGAUAUGUACUUUCCAAACAAAAAUGUAUUAACUUCUUACUCUGAGUCAGCGGCACCUGUGCUGGACACAGGCAUGCCAGCAAACAAGACAGACACACGCCUUGCCUUUUAGGAAAUUAUAAUCCAAUAGGAAAGACAGAUACUAAAUGAACAAUUCAGCCAAACUUAAUGGGUACUAGCCCUAACUCUCUUGUGGCAGAUUGUAUUUUCCAAAGAUGGCUUCAAUAUGCUCUCUUUCAAUGUGACUAACACUAUUCCAUUGAGACGCAGGGUCUGCAUUCCCUGUCCUUGAAACUUAUUGGACUGCUAUGACCAACAGAAUGUUGUGGAAGUGACACUGAGUGACUUUAAUGGAAGUUUCCACCAAUCUUUAUUUCGCUCUCUCUCUCUUUUUCUCAGGACUCUCCCCCUUGGAAUCCAGUCACUAUGUUGUGAGGAAGCCCAGACCACAUGGAGAGGCCACAUAUAGAGGUUCUAGCCAACGACUCCAGCUAAAGCCUCAGUCAGUCAACAGACAGCAUCUACUCAUGCGAAUGAACAGGUCUUCAGAUGAACCCAGCCCCAAGCGUUUGGCCCUUUCAGCUCAGUCCGCAGACAUCAAGAAACAUGGAGAAGCAUUUGCCCUAUCGAAUUCCCAAUCCACAGAAUCCACGAGUGAUUGUUUCAUGCCACUAGGUUUUGGAGCAAUUUGUUCUGCACCCAUGGCAACUAUAUUACCUCUCUAGGUUUCUUUGCACAAAAGAACACUGGACUGGAAAUAAAGUGAGUAGCAUAUAUUCCCAUCUCUUUCCCUUAAUAGCUGUUGACACUCACUAACUGUGUGAACUUGGGCCUGUCAUUUCUCAUCUCCAGGUUCUUUAUCCUCCCUCCUGAAAUAUGGGGAUGGAGCUGGAUGAUUUCUAAGAGCCUAGGAAGCUUGAAAAUUGUACCAACAGAGACUCUUUAUGGAAUGACCCAAUUAAAACCAUGUCAAUUGAUAUGGCAAGAGGUGAACUUUUUAAUUGAAAUUCUUGAUUUUUUGUUUUAUCUUUCUGGGAGGUGAAAUCAACUAAAGCCAUUAGGAAAGCAAAAGGGCUCCUCUAAUGCAUAAUUCAUGAAAGGAAAGUGGGUUUGACCCAACAGGUCAUUUGGAAUAAAAAUGCCAUAAAAAUAAAAUAUGUUAUCCCUCCCCUUCUGCCCCCCCACCAUCCCUUACACUAGCUAAUGGAGGGGAAGAGUGAAUUAAACUGGAGUUCAGGUCAAAGGUUUAGUUGAUUUAUUCCAGAAUGGUCAUUCCCUCCAGCUGCUCAAGUAACAAUGGACAUUGCAGAUGUUCAGGCAGUUUUGUCCCCACCCUAGGGCCCUUGUCCUGAGUGAUAAGGCCCCUCCUCCUUCCCUGGGGAGAUGACCUCAUUUUCUAAUGGCCUGCCCAAUUAGGAAGCAUAUGAGCCUAGUGAGAAGACACCUUGUCUGCUUCAAAAGCUUUGGGGAAAUUCCCCAAAGGGCCAACCUGUUUCACAGAGGCAAAGGGAAAAAAAGUAGACAGCCUGUAAUUAGUAUAAUAACCUGUUCAGAUUCCACCUGCCUGUGAUUUCCCCAGCUUGUUCAUCCAUUCAUGUAUUCAUUCACUCAGGCAACAAAUAUUUACAGAGCAGCUGUGAUGUGUAAGCCCUGGUGAUACGACAAGUCCCCCAGAAGAAGCUAACGAUUUGUGUGCAAGCGAUUGAUUAAGGAAGUGCUCCCAGGGGCGUCUGGCAGGGGGUGGGGGUGGGGGGAGCAGGACAGGGAAGGGAAAACUCCAUUCAAAGGUUGAUUUCAAGCAAAGUCCAGGCCUCAGCCCGAUCCUUCAGCAAGCUCUGGAGUGUAAAGCAUGCCUCAGAGUUUGUCCCAAUUCAAAGCAAAGGUGCUAGGCUUUCAGACUUCUGCAUCAGACAGUUACGGGUAAAGCCUGCCCUGGUAGAAAUGUAAAGCCCAGGCAUUUCUGACACUUCACGUGCAGGCAAAGGGGUUCCAGGAGCCUGUGUACAGCAUUUUUUCCUCUUUUUUUAAGGCACAGGUACAUGCUAGUAGAAGUAAAACAACAAAAUAGCCAGGGGUAGACAUUUUCCCACUCUGCCAACCUUCAUAUAUUAGCAUUAUCUCACCUCAUGGUUGCAAGAUGACUCCAAACUUCCAUCCCCUUACAACAAUAUCCAAAGGCAAGAAGGGUUGGGCAGGCAGCUAGCCCCACCCCUACAUAUCUGACUUGCCAGAGAGGAGCAUUUCUCCAGUACACUUUGCAUUGUGUCCUCUUUGUCAGAAGUGGGGCAAUGCACCUUGUUUUGUUUUGUUUUUUUUCAGAUGGAGUCUCACUCUGUUGCCCAGGCUGGAAUGCAAUGGCACAAUCUCGGUUCACUGCAACCCCCGCCUUCCGGGUGUAAACGAGUCUCCUGCUUCAGCCUCCUGAGUAGCUGGGAUUACAGGCGUGCACCACCAUGCCUGGCUAAUUUUUGUAUUUUUAGUAGAGAUAGGGUUUCACCAUGUUGGCCAAGCUGGUCUUGAACUCCUGACC